CCUACGGGUGGCAGCAGUGGGGAAUAUUGGGCAAUGGGCGCAAGCCUGACCCAGCAACGCCGCGUGAAGGAAGAAGGCUUUCGGGUUGUAAACUUCUUUUCUCAGGGACGAAGCAAGUGACGGUACCUGAGGAAUAAGCCACGGCUAACUACGUGCCAGCAGCCGCGGUAAUACGUCGGGGGCAAGCGUUAUCCGGAUUUACUGGUUGUAAAGGGCGUGUAGGUGGGAAGGCAAGUCAGAUGUGAAAACCAUGGGCUCAACCUGGGGCGUGCAUUUGAAACUGUUUUGCUUGUGGACUGGGGUGGCAGGCGGAAUUCGUGGUGUAGCGGUGAAAUGCGUAGAUAUUAGGAGGAACACCAGUGGCGAAGGCAGUCUGCUGGACCGCAACUGACGCUGAUGCGCGAAAGCGUGGGGAGCAAACAGGAUUAGAUACCCCUGUAGUC
rnacentral:rRNA from 1 species